rnacentral:rRNA from 1 species
CUACGGGUGGCUGCAGUAGGGAAUUUUCCACAAUGGACGAAAGUCUGAUGGAGCAACGCCGCGUGCAGGAUGACAGCCUUCGGGUCGUAAACUGCUUUUAUGAGUGAAGAUUAUGACAGUAACUCAAGAAUAAGGGACGGCUAACUACGUGCCAGCAGCCGCGGUCAUACGUAGGUCCCAAGCAUUAUCCGGAAUUACUGGGCGUAAAGAGUUGCGUAGGUGGUUUACUAAGCAGAACAUGAAAUCGUACGGCUCAACCGUAUAAACGUUUUCUGAACUGGUAAACUAGAGGAUGAGAGAGGUUAUUGGAAUUUCUUGUGUAGGAGUGAAAUCCGUAGAUAUAAGAAGGAACACCGAUGGUGUAGGCAGAUAACUGGCUCAUACCUGACACUAAGGCACGAAAGCGUGGGUAGCAAACGGGAUUAGAUACCCCCGUGUC